GCCUUAUCCCAGAGGAUCCAAAAUACCUGGGUGGGGAUUUUGACAUGGUCUUGUUUUAAUCCCUGUAGAUGGCGGCCUCCUGGAUUUCCGGCUGAAGCAAUGAGGUGGUGAGGGACAAAGUGGGCUCGGAGGCUGCGUGCCUUUAGAGAUUUUUCCCCGAGUCAAACCCGGAUGGACUUGCGAGCGAUAAUUAUGAGGCUGACUUGCAUGUUUUCCUUCAUCCUGCUGUUUGGAGUGGCUGGCCUUGUCAUCUUCAUUCACCUGCAGGAUCCGGCUGACAUAAUUCACCAGCAGACACCAGUGGAGGUACGAUUACCACAGCCCAAUUUAAUGAACCAAGGAACAGAGGACUACCUUGAGCUGCAACAAACUCCAUGCCAAAACAGCUUCUCUCCACAGCUGAGUUUCAGCCGAUACCAUCCGUAACAAAGGGGUCUCCUGAAAUUACACUCCUCCUGCGCCCCCAGCCGGAAAACCGGGUCCCCGUAUUGUGAGCUCAUCAAGACGCUAUUUAUAAAGAGCGCCAUCAUGGAAGAUACAAGACUUCCAGGAGGUCAGAACUUCCCUUCCUUUCCUCAGUCCAACCCCAGGUUUCAAGUUGUUGCCUCAACAGCAAUGAAUUGUUUGCCUCAGCCCUUUUUCUUUUUCUCUUCAGAGGAGGAAUUGUGCUAGAUUUUUUCCUCUUGUGAGUCCUGGCCAGGCCAAGUUUGGACUCUGAUCCAGCUGCAGAGAGGUCACUUUCCUUGCUCCUCAGUCACUCCGAGCAGCUCAGAGAAGGAGGUGGGCCUGGGUCUGAGGACUCCAUGCCCGUUCUCUCCUCCAUCACCCACGCCAUCGUGGCUGGGCCUCCAGCUCUGAUGGAACAACCGUUCGACCCGAUUCCUGAGAGCCGUGCUGGCGCGCUACAAUUAGCUGGUGACUGGAGCAGAGACCGAUUAAAUAAAUUGCUAAAACCAAU
rnacentral:lncRNA from 1 species